GAGAUUCUGCAAUAAAAACAUCAAUGAUUGAAGAAAAUAGCAUUGUAAAGAAACGAGACUCAAAAUGCCAGUAACGACUUGUUCAGCUUUUUCUAAUUUUUGUAACAUUAAAGACAUCUUGGGACUGACUCCAUUAAAUCUCUUCAUUGAUGGCCUUAUAUGGAUCCUUGUGGCGUUACCACUUCCGUUGAUGUAUAUGUACAUUGAACCAACGAAGAAGGGUUUCUUUUGCAAUGACCAAUCCUUGCGUUAUCCAUACAAACCAGAUACAGUCUCCACAAAUUUCCUGUACUUGGCCUCAUGUCUCAUUCCUUUGGUGCUGGUUUGUGGUACUGAAUGGCUAAAUUGGCAAGUACUGAGGAAAUAUAUUGGCAAAGGAACUCAAAUCUCCACAACUGUGAGGGUAUACACAAUAUUUCUGUUUGGCAUCACCCUAAACCAGUUUUUUGUUGAUGUUCCCAAAUAUUUUAUGGGAAGUAUGAGACCCAACUUCUUUGCUGUUUGUCGACCCAACGUAAAUUGUACAAAAGACGAAUUUGUCCAUAAUUACACAUGCACCAGUACAGAAUUUAACCCUUUGAAACAAAGGGAUGCUUUGUUGUCAUUUCCAUCGGGUCAUGCAGCCAUUUCUGUAUACACAGCACUCUACACUGUUUUGUAUCUGGAACUUCGAUUUGAAGUGAAAGUGAGUCGUUUCUUCAAAGCAUCCCUCCAGAUGGCGCUGUUAGUUCUAUCAGCCUGGAGUGUUAUUACUCGAGUUUCUGAUAAUAAACACCACUUAAUUGAUGUCAUUGCUGGUUCUGCUGUUGGUAUAAUGGUUGCAACUGGUGUUUUCACCAAAAUUACUUGUCCCAGCUUAAAUCAACAAAAAGUGAAAAGGGGGACAGAGAAGAAAGAAAAGAACGAAAAGAACGAAAAAAACGAAAAGGAUCAAUAUGAAUUUGUUGUUGUUGUUGAUGAUGAUGAUACAGCUACACCAGUAACUGACAAUGACCCUUACAUCUACCACCAGAUUGAAUAGGUGAGUAAUUAGUGCAUCUCAUACUUUGCUAAAUAUUUCCACCAUUUUAGCAAUUAUCACUCACUGCUUUCACUAUUUUCAUAUCUUUAAUGGCCAUUUUGACUAUUGACACUUUACACCAACAGUACCCUCAUUUACUUUGCCAUACUGCUUUGUACCUCACAUCUCUUCUCAUCUCAGAACAUUACUCUCACUUUCCUCUCUGCUCUUGCUGAGUUGACCUCAUUCUAGCUUCUCCUUUACGAACAUCAUCUUUGUUACUUGCACUUUUUUCAAUUCUUUCUCUGCUUCUCUCUUAGCUUUUAGAGUUCUGUUUAUUCUACUAUUUCACUACCAAGUUGCUUUCCAUCUAGCAGGAACUUUGCUUCUACAGGGCACAGCAGGUUGUCUGGCAGGCACCAACAGCUGUCUUCUAUUCAUAAGUCUCUAUAUCCUCCUUCCUUCUCAACAAUCUGGCUGCAGGUUCUUCCAGCUUACAUACCAUUCAUUUCAUAUUGUCUUGUGUCUUUGAGACCAUCUGGCUCUUAUUCUGAUGUUGCUCAUCUAUAUUUAAUGGAACUUUUCACCUGCAUGUUCACCUGAGAGGUAGGUGGUCAAGUAUCUGACAGUUUCCUGAAGGUAUUGGACAGGUCAUUUGAUCGUUCUUCAUUUUGUGUACCAUCUCCAUAUCUUCCAUAUACAUGAGAAAAACUUUCAUGGUGUCACCCAACAUAUCACUUAAAGUACCCAGCCAUAAUAAAGAGAUUGCUGUCAUCUGUUGUUGUAAUGCCUGCCUGCAAGAGAACCUCAAAGAAACAAUCUUUUUUUUUCUCAUCUGUUAAUUCCAGAUUGUGUGGCCUAUUUAGAAAUAACUGUUACUGUUGUAUUUCCUAUGAUUAGUCUUAAUUAUUCUUCUCUCACAUACUUUAAUUACCUUAAUUACUUUGUCCCUUUCUCUUCCAACAACUUGACUGACUUCACUCUUCUUACCAACCCAGAAGAAUUUGUGUCCAUGGUUCUAUCCUGUGAAGACUCCAACUGAAAAUCUCCUUCAUCUUAUCUCUUCUACUCACUCCUCAUCCACUCAUCUUCUCUACCCUUGCAGCUUCCUCAUCUCCCCACACUUACCUUUCAUCGUGCCAGUGUUAACGACAGCAACUCUUAAGUUUUGCUCCUGACCCAGAAGAAGAGACUUUUUGCUAGAAUUUGGCUUGUUGUGUGUUUAUUAUCUGCAUCUGAAAGGUGGAGAUGUGUGUGUGUGUGUGUGUGUGUGUGCGCAUGCAUGCACAUUACUACCAUCAUCAUCAUUAUCAUCAUUUUACGCAUUCAGCAACAGAAGAAACCGGCCAACUUUGUUGUAGUGUUUGUCUCAAAGUGUGGACUGAAUGUCUUUUACCAGCACUAGAGAGGUUGUCCCAUGAGGGGUGGUGACUAGAGUCCCCCCCACCCCCACCCCAAAAAUUCUUUGGACGCAUAAACUAUAUUUUGGUUUUUCAAAUCAAUUCACUUUAUAUUGCUAAUGCAAUGCUUUUGCAAAAAUGCAUGAACAUCACAACCACAGCAAUUGCUUCUAUAAGCCUGAGACUGCAUGACUAUUGAUGAAAAUCAUUGUAAGUAUUCUCAUAAUAAAUAUUCUCGUUCAUUAAUUGUAACAAAAGAAUCCUUUAAAAUUCUGGCUCAUUUUGCUCACAGAUUGAUUAAAAACAAUUCAUCUCUGUAAAAUUGUAAUCAUUUUUAUGAAUAAAUAACUUCAUAUAUUAAUUAAACCUA
rnacentral:misc_RNA from 1 species